CGGAGGGUGCAAGCGUUAUCCGGAUUCACUGGGUUUAAAGGUGCGUAGGCGGGUUGGUAAGUCCGUGGUGAAAUCCCCAAGCUUAACUUGGGAACUGCCGUGGAUACUAUCAAUCUUGAAUAUCGUGGAGGUAAGCGGAAUAUGUCAUGUAGCGGUGAAAUGCUUAGAUAUGACAUAGAACACCAAUUGCGUAGGCAGCUUACUACACGAUCAUUGACGCUGAGGCACGAAAGCGUGGGGAGCAAACAGGAUUAGAUACCCUGGUAGUCCACGCCCUAAACGAUGGAUACUCGACAUCAGCGAUACACUGUUGGUGUCUGAGCGAAAGCAUUAAGUAUCCCACCUGGGAAGUACGAUCGCAAGAUUG
rnacentral:rRNA from 1 species